ACCACACGCAUACUUUAACAUACAGUGGUGGUUUAACCUUAACUUGUGCACAGAGCAACACGACCUGCCUGUAACACUCUGAUAGCAGUUGGUAGAUAACGAUUGCACUCACAGCUAAACAAUGGCGCCAGGACGGAAUUUACUGUCCGUUUUCUUCCUUUGUUUCCUUUUCAGAAAUUCAUACCAGCUGAUUGGCCAGAUGACCAUUGACAUGGACUGCGACCCAUCUGUAAGUAAACGCAUGGACGUGUGUCCUGAUGGUUUCUGCUGCGUCCGUGACGAGUUCCUCCCUCCUACGUGUACUGCAAGAAGAUGGGUCUUCAAAACGAAUCAUGUACGAUGAGGGUGACCGAGUCCGCCUGUCCGUGCACCUCUGGCAUGUACUGUCAUCCCAACAUCGAGAGUGCCACCUUCCACUCGCUGUAUGGGAAAUGCCGCCUCAACGCUACAGCACAUCCCAGUAUUACUGGAUGAAUUGACAGCGUCAGUACUUGGGUAUACAUGAUAUGAGAUGAUUAAAAAAUCAUAAAAUUA